GUGAAUCACGUGAUUAGACAUGGCUCGUCGUUUGUUUUGACGUGUCGGAAUCGUUGGCCGAAGAGGAAAUAAUUACAUUUAUUAAAAUUUAAGGUGUCUUAUAUAUUGUAAUUCUAUACUAUUUAGUGUGUCUUGCAUUGCAAUGUAUUAAAGUAGCUGACAAAGAUAUUUAUUUCAACCUCCAACAUGGAUUAUUCAAAAUUUUUAGAUGAGAAUUUUGAUGUGAAGGAAUGGGUGAAUGGAGCCUUCAGGUCCCAUAAAGACACUACAGUCAGUAAAGAUCAAUAUGCCACAAAUUUAGUGAUGAAAUUACAGAUGUUUAUACAAGAAGUCAAUAAUGUUAUAGAAGACUCCAGCCAGCAAGCCUUACAGAAUUUACCCAGGGUAAUGAGAGAAAUAGAAGCUGUUCGUCAAGAAGCAGCACUUCUUCAAGAUCAAAUGAGACUAGUCAAACAAGAUAUUCAAAAGGUUGAACAGGACACCUCUCAGUCCAUGCAGACCCUCUUGAAACUUGAUGGCAUAAAAUCUCGGAUGAAAGCAACUUCUGAUGCUCUCAAGGAAGCUGACAAUUGGACAACUCUUUCUGCAGAUGUUGAAGAAGUUUUUCUAUCUCAAGACAUCCAGGCUAUAACAGCCAAACUUGUUGGGAUGCAGCAGAGUUUGCAAAUGCUGGUUGAUACCCCAGAUUACCAACAGCGUUGUCAGCAUCUGGAAAAACUUCAAAAUAAGUUGGAGACCCUACUAAGUCCUCAAGUUGUAGCUGCAUUUAAUGCACAGUCACUAGAAGCUACACAGACUUAUGCAAAGAUAUUUGAGGACAUCAAUCGCUUGGGUCAGUUGUACAAAUAUUAUCACAAGUGUCAGAAGGUUCAACUGAUUAAUCACUGGAAGAAUAUUCUGGACACCAAUUCUGAUGACACAUUCUUAGAAUGGCUUACAUCAUUUUACGAUCAUCUGUUGUCUACUUGGCAUGGACAGAUAAAAUGGUGCAGUCAAGUAUUUCGAGAUCCUGUACCUAUUCUCUGUGACCUUUUCACAGAAGUCAUCAAGGACCUUGACCCAAGUUUGGAUGAUUGCCUUUCUGUAUAUAUUGACGAGCAGGGUUCUAAUGUCACCUUAAUUAGUCUUAUCAACUUGAAACAGGUUUCUGAAAGAUUUUCCAAAAGUAUUGAGUCUGCUGUGGAAUAUUGUAUGUCAGAUAAUCCAGAACAUGCAGUAAGUCUCCUGGAUCUACAGAAGAGUAUAUAUGCUGUCUACCAGCCAUAUCUGAGCAAAUAUAAACAUUUUGAAGAGGUUGCCCUUCAGUGUGAGCUUGAUAACAUCAGACUGGAUCAUGAGGAAAUUGUUGAUUCUAUUGGUUUACUUGGAGAAUCUGUCAGCAAGCUGAUGUCUUCUGCUAAAAAGGCUAAUGAGAGGUGUAUCCAGUUUACUGAUGGCUUUGGAUAUCUGUACUUAUUGGAAGCCCUAAAGAUGUUCUAUAUCAGUUACUGCCGAGAGUUCAAGAGAGUUCUGUCAAAUGUAAGGGCUAAGUGUUAUAUUGGUCGACAGCAGGAAGAUUUUGAAGAUUGGUCUUUAUUUCAACAAUCCUUACGGAUGAUUCAAAUCUGUGGCGAGUUGAUCAUACAAACUGAAGAACUUGAUAAAACCCUCAUCAACAAUAUCAUCUCAACCUUAGGCAAGUACUUCUUACCCAGUCAGCAUUCACCACUGAAAGAAACUACUGAUAAAAAGACUGGCAAGAAAGUGUCUCUCUUCCAGCGCCAUGCUUCCCUUUUGCUGGAAGAUGAAGCAGAUAUAGAAAUUCUUGAAGAGUUUGUCUUGAAACUUGAGGAAGGUGAUACACCGUCAGUGUUGUCUGAUGUUACCAAGGAAAUGUUCAAACUCAGUCAGGAAGUGCACAAGUUUGGUUUUGAUAUUGUUUUUGCUCAGCUCAAGAAACAUCUCAUUGGAAUGGCCAACAUGGAGGUGUGGACAUCCCUGAGUGCUGGAACAGCCAUAACCUCUGACCUUCCUGCAUUUAGUCUUUCACCUCAAGAAUACAUCACAAAGGUUGGUCAGUACUUAAUGACCUUACCACAGUUAUUGGAACCGUAUAUAAUCCAAGACAAUCAAGCAGUCACUGUAGCAUUGCAGCAUGGGCGUUUGCCAUACACUGAAGAUCAAGACAUUCCUGAACACAGUGCUGAUUUGUGGCUGCAGUCUAUUGCUCGAGGAACAAUGUUUUUGUAUUCAGAAGAAAUCCUGAAGAUUUAUGAACUCAGUCCGCAUGGCACCAAACAACUUGUCACAGAUCUUGAUUAUUUAUGCAAUGUUUUGGAUGACCUCGGUCUAAGUGCAGAACAAAUGCAUGACAUCAAGCAGCUGUUGAAAGCUGAACCAGAUGAAUUCCGGCCUCUUGCCAGUCGAAUGCCUCAAAGACUGGCCAAUGUGAUAAGUCAGAUGAGAAACAUUGAGCUGUGAUAACAGACCGUAUGCUCCAGGAUACUUCAUAACAAAUUGUUGGUUUUAUUUAUUUUUGAGUGUAUGUGCAUGUAUAUAUAUAUAUAUAUAUAUAUAUAUAUAUAUAUAUAUCCCUGUUAGGAGGCACAAGCAAUAACACAUACAUGUACACACAGUGAUAACUUCCGCCUACCAAAUUCAGUUACAAGGCUUUGGUCAGCCACACGCAUUUACACAUGUACAAACAAGAAAAGGGCAUGAUACACUAUGUAGAGUUCAUAUUUGUAAUGGAAUAGUUGGUAACUCACUUGGCCACUCAGUUUCAUGGACACUAAACCAGGUGCCUUGUUGACCAAAUACCCAUGAUGGUUACACACAAGUUUUCGUUUCUAUAACAUUCUGAAUAACAGCCAUAUAGAUUUUCAAACCAAGGUUACUUAUUACCUCAGUUUAAAUAUAUGGAAAAAAAAAAACA